rnacentral:rRNA from 1 species
UACGGGGGGAGCAAGCGUUGUUCGGAUUUACUGGGCGUAAAGGGCGCGUAGGCGGCCACCGCAAGUCGACUGUGAAAUCUCCGGGCUUAACUCGGAAAGGUCAGCCGAUACUGCGGGGCUAGAGUGCAGAAGGGGCAACUGGAAUUCUCGGUGUAGCGGUGAAAUGCGUAGAUAUCGAGAGGAACACCUGCGGCGAAGGCGGGUUGCUGGGCUGACACUGACGCUGAUUGUGCGAAAGCUGGGGGAGCGAACGGG